rnacentral:rRNA from 1 species
AAUGAACGUUGGCGGCGUGGAUCAGGCAUGCAAGUCGAACGAAUCUCACCUGGGCAACUGGGUGGGGAAGUGGCGAAAGGGGCAGUAAGGCAUGGGUAACCUGCCCCGGACUUCGGGAUAGCCUUCCUAAACGGAAGGAUAAUACCGAAUGCCGUAGCGUGGGGGCAUCUCCGUGCUACGAAAGCUCCGGCGGUCCGGGAGGGGCUCAUGUGGUAUUAGCUAGUUGGUGAGGUGACGGCUCACCAAGGCCAAGAUGCCUAGCAGGUGUGAGAGCACGACCUGCGCCACUGGCACUGUGACACUGGCCAGACUCCUACGGGAGCUGCAGUCGAGGAUCUUCGGCAAUGGGCGCAAGCCUGACCGAGCGACGCCGCGUGUGCGAUGAAGGCCUU